rnacentral:rRNA from 1 species
GACGAACGCUGGCGGCGUGCCUAAUACAUGCAAGUAGGACGCAGUUGCGAACGGGUGAGUAACGCGUAGGUAACUGCCUAUUAGAGGGGGAUAACUAUUGGAAACGAUAGCUAAUACCGCAUACUAGUAGAUGGACCUGCGUUGUAUUAGUUCGUAGGUAGGGUAAUGGCCUACCUAGGAAAAGAUACAUAGCCGACCAUGAAUGGUGUUCGGCCACACUGGGACUGAGACACGGCCCAGACUCCUACGGUGGGCAGCAGGAGGGAAUCUUCGGCAAUGGGGGGAACCCUGACCGAGCAACGCCGCGUGAGUGAAGAAGGUUUUCGGAUCUUAAAGCUCUGUUGUUAAGGAAGCGGUACUUAACCAGAAAGGGACGGCUAACUACGUGCCAGCAGCCGCGGUAAUUC